GAUGAACGCUGGCGGCGUGCCUAAUACAUGCAAGUCGAGCGAACGGACGAGAAGCUUGCUUCUCUGAUGUUAGCGGCGGACGGGUGAGUAACACGUGGAUAACCUACCUAUAAGACUGGGAUAACUUCGGGAAACCGGAGCUAAUACCGGAUAAUAUUUUGAACCGCAUGGUUCAAAAGUGAAAGACGGUCUUGCUGUCACUUAUAGCUGGAUCCGCGCUGCAUUAGCUAGUUGGUAAGGUAACGGCUUACCAAGGCAACGAUGCAUAGCCGACCUGAGAGGGGGAUAGGCCACACUGGAACUGAGACACGGUCCAGACUCCUACGGGAGGCAGCAGUAGGGAAUCUUCCGCAAUGGGCGAAAGCAUGACGGAGCAACGCCGCGUGAGUGAUGAAGGUCUUCGGAUCGUAAAACUCUGUUAUUAGGGAAGAACAUAUGUGUAAGUAACUGUGCACAUCUUGACGGUACCUAAUCAGAAAGCCACGGCUAACUACGUG
rnacentral:rRNA from 1 species